GAAUAUCAGUCUGAUUCUUAUUCAUGGUAUUGCAGGAAGUCUGUAUCAUCAAGAAAAAACUGCAGGUGGCUGGAAGAUGCCGAUCAGCUGCCAGUCUGGAUAGUAGCCAUCAACUCAGCAAAGGCCUGCAGUCGAAUCAGCCCCACCUGUUUCUCUGCUGCCAUUCAAGACAGGAUGCUUUGUGAGAGGUGAAACGGGGCCCAUGCACCGCUUCCGCAGGGCCCUGCUGUGGGAGCUCAUGGAGGUGGCACGGUGCAUGGAAGAACAGAGUGGCUGACAGUGGGCUGCCCAAGCAAGCUGCUGGCUCUUGUGACUGUCUCUGAAAGCCUCUGGAUGUGCAAAAUUGCAGACGUGCCUGGACAUUUAUAAAUGGUGCUGCUAUCCAGCUCUACGUCACAGCCAUGAAGUGGCCAUGGGGUGAACCAUGGACAACUGCUGUCAUAAGUACUCGAAUCGACAGAGCCACCUACUAGCUGUGAAGCCCAGUUGCCAGGCAGCAGAUACUCGACCAGCAACCAGCCUUUGUCACUCUAGUGGGACACGAGAGCGACAAACAGAAACAAAGACAGCUACAAGCCUCCAACCCAUUCAGCAUGCCCGUGAUGGUACCUUUGGCAGGCGUUUAUUCGUUCGGUGCUCGUGAAAUAAGCAUGA